AAGUCGUACGAUUCGGCCUAGGUGUGGGGGAAUUCCACGUUCUCCGCGCCGUAUCUAACGCAUUAAGUGCCCCGCCUGGGGAGUACGGUCGCAAGGCUAAAACUCAAAGGAAUUGACGGGGGCCCGCACAAGCGGCGGAGCAUGCGGAUUAAUUCGAUGCAACGCGAAAAACCUUACCAAGGCUUGACAUACACUGGACCGUUCUGGAAACAGUUCUUCUCUUUGGAGCUGGUGUACAGGUGGUGCAUGGUUGUCGUCAGCUCGUGUCGUGAGAUGUUGGGUUAAGUCCCGCAACGAGCGCAACCCUCGUUCUAUGUUGCCAGCACGUGAUGGUGGGAACUCAUAGGAGACUGCCGGGGUCAACUCGGAGGAAGGUGGGGAUGACGUCAAAUCAUCAUGCCCUUUAUGUCUUGGGCUUCACGCAUGCUACAAUGGCUGGUACAGAGAGAGGCGAACCCGUGAGGGUAAGCGAAUCCCUUAAAGCCAGUCUCAGUUCGGAUCGUAGUCUGCAAUUCGACUACGUGAAGUCGGAGUCGCUAGUAAUCGCAGAUCAGCAGCGCUGCGGUGAAUACGUUCCCGGGCCUUGUACACACCGCCCGUCAAGUCACGAAAGUCGGUAACACCCGAAGCCGGUGUCCCAACCCACUUGUGGGAGGGGGCCGUCUAAGGUGGGACUGGUGAUUGGGACUAAGUCGUACAAAGGGUAAAACAAA
rnacentral:rRNA from 1 species